GGAGAGGUGCUAGAGCGGCCGAAUAGGCAUGACUGGAAAUCAUGUGUACCUUCACGGGUACCGAGGGUUCGAAUCCCUCCCUCUCCGCCA
rnacentral:tRNA from 1 species